rnacentral:rRNA from 1 species
UCUGGCGGCAGUAGCGCGGUGGUCCCACCUGACCCCAUGCCGAACUCAGAAGUGAAACGCCGUAGCGCCGAUGGUAGUGUGGGGUCUCCCCAUGCGUGGGGUCUCCCCAUGCGAGAGUAGGGAACUGCCA